AAUGAACGUUGGCGGCAUGGAUUAGGCAUGCAAGUCGAGCGAGAAGUGUAGCAAUACACGGAAAGCGGCGGAAGGGAGAGUAAUACGUGGGAAUCUGCCCUUAGACCUGGGAUAGCAGCGGGAAACUGCCGGUAAUACCAGAUAAUGUCUAUGGACCAAAGGUGUGAUUCCGUCUAGGGAUGAGCCCACGUCCUAUUAGCUAGUUGGUAGGGUAAUGGCCGACCAAGGCGAUGAUGGGUAGCGGGUGUGAGAGCAUGACCCGCCUCACUGGGACUGAGACACUGCCCAGACACCUACGGGUGGCUGCAGUCGAGAAUCUUCGGCAAUGGGCGCAAGCCUGACCGAGCGAUGCCGCGUGCGGGAUGAAGGCCUUCGGGUUGUAAACCGCUGUCGAGGGGGAGCAACUUCCAUAGAGUUAUCUUUAUGGAUUGAGUGAUUCCUGGAGGAAGGACGGGCUAAGUUCGUGCCAGCAGCCGCCGUAAAAC
rnacentral:rRNA from 1 species